rnacentral:tRNA from 2 species
GCGGGUAUGGCGGAAUUGGCAGACGCGCCGGAUUUAGGUUCCGGUGGGAAACCGUGCAGGUUCAAGUCCUGUUACCCGCACCA